GGGGAUUUGAAGCACAGGUGGGCUUGGUAAGGACCCGCCAGUGGGAACCUAGCGGGCUGGGUGGAGAGAUUGUGGAGUUCUGAGUCAGAGUCUCCAUGAGAUAAAACAAGUUGGCCAAUGCCUGACCAGGCCACUGGGGCAGAGAGUUGCUGGCACAAGCGUGGGAACAUGUCAGUUCUUUUUUAAUAUUUCCCACAACAAAUAUAUAUCCUGAUUACAGUUCCCCCUCCCUCUACCCCUCCCUCCCCAUUCCUCCCUGGAUUUCAAGGUUCAGACUACAAACUGCUUCUGUGUGACUAAGAAGAAUCAGAAUAAAGAGAAACAUACUCUCUUCCGAAGAUUAGGCAGGAGGAGCUCUAGAAUUUCACAAAGGUGCUGUCAGGACACAUGAAAAUCUGGGGAAAAAGACAGGCUUGAAGAGACCAAAAAGAAGAAAGCCUGCCAAUCACAUCCUCCAAGGAUUCUGAGACACACACACCCCUGGUGUAGGGGGAACAUCACCUGAAAGGUGACACCCACUCUAAGGAAUAUAAGUACCAGCUAAAAAGGACACACACUUGAAGAAAAAGGAGACAAUGAGGUCUUGUGAAUGCUCUAAUUUUUCAAAGCUUACUUUUAAUGAUGGUUCUUAAACGCUUUAACCUCCCUUCUAGUCCACCACCCACCAAAGGUAGUGGGAAAGAAAGGUGAUUAGGAUAC
ensembl:processed_transcript pluripotency associated transcript 14